rnacentral:lncRNA from 1 species
GUGGUGGUUCCGGUGUGUUAGUAGUGGUCUUAGUGUGUUUGUGGUGAUAGCUAUUGUGGUCUGGUUAAUCGGAGGAAAAGGUCAAAGCCGACAUUUGAGGCAAGUAAAAAGCUGAGUUGUGGAGGACCCUUAACCGACUUUAGAAUAACAGUUAAGGGCUCAUUUGGCUAGUCCUUAAUCGUCAUUCGAAAGCCAGUUAAGGAUCCACCUUAUUUCGAAUCACGCAGGAUCCUUAAUCGAUGUUCGCUGAGUGCUUUUUUAUUUAAUGUUGAUAGGGGGAGCAUUAAACUCCUAAUUGUUGGGUCUAUCAAGGAGGAGGUUCACCGAGGAGUUACAAACACCAAUGAGGUAUGAGCCCAACCAUAUAAGGGAUUGACACCACUCUCUACCCAAAACCUUAAGGCAAUGUGUUAAUGUGUCUUUUAAUUUUAUAUAGUGCUCUACUUUCUCAUUUCUAUCCAAUGUGGGACUUAGACUCACACUUGCAUUCCCAACCAUCUCCCCCUCAAGGGUGAGUCCCUUCCACAUUGGUACACUCCUCCUCCAACGGAAGCAUUCCCAUCCAACCACAAUCACGAGUAGCCCUUCGUACCAGCAUCGGCUCUGAUACCACUAUUGGGUCUAUCAAGGAGGAGGUUCACCGAGGAGAUACAAACACCAAUGAGAUAUAAGCCCAACCAUAUAAGGGAUUGACACCACUCUCUACCCAAAACCUUAAGGCAAUGGGUCUUUCACCUUUAUAUAGUGCUCUACUUUCUCAUUUCUAUCCAAUGUGGGACUUGGGCUCGCACUUGCAUUCCCAACAAUCUCCCCCUCAAGAUAUGAGCCCAACCAUAUAAGGAAUUGAC